rnacentral:rRNA from 1 species
AUACGGAGGGUGCAAGCGUUAAUCGGAAUUACUGGGCGUAAAGAGUACGUAGGCGGUUUGUUAAGUUAGAUGUGAAAGCCCCGGGCUUAACCUGGGAACUGCAUUUAAAACUGGCAAACUUGAGUUGGGUAGAGGGAAGUGGAAUUUCAGGUGUAGCGGUGAAAUGCGUAGAGAUCUGAAGGAACACCAGUGGCGAAGGCGACUUCCUGGACUCAAACUGACGCUGAGGUACGAAAGCGUGGGUAGCAAACGGGAUUAGAUACCCCAGUAGUCC